rnacentral:rRNA from 1 species
UAAGGAAUAUUGGUCAAUGGACGCAAGUCUGAACCAGCCAUGCCGCGUGAAGGAUGAAGGUCCUCUGGAUUGUAAACUUCUUUUAUCUGGGACGAAAACGGGAUUUUUAUCUCAAUUGACGGUACCAGAGGAAUAAGCACCGGCUAACUCCGUGCCAGCAGCCGCGGUAAUACGGAGGGUGCGAGCGUUAUCCGGAUUCACUGGGUUUAAAGGGUGCGUAGGUGGGCAGAUAAGUCAGUGGUGAAAUCUUCCGGCUUAACCGGGAAACUGCCGUUGAUACUAUUUGUCUUGAAUAUCGCGGAGGUAAGCGGAAUAUGUCAUGUAGCGGUGAAAUGCUUAGAUAUGACAUAGAACACCAAUUGCGAAGGCAGCUUACUACACAAUCAUUGACACUGAGGCACGAAAGCGUGGGUAGCGAACA